UACGUAGGUGGCAAGCGUUGUCCGGAUUUAUUGGGUUUAAAGGGUGUGUAGGUGGCUAACUAAGUCAGUGGUGAAAUAUCUCAGCUUAACUGAGAGGGUGCCAUUGAUACUGGAUAGCUUGAGUACAGAUGAGGUAGGCGGAAUUGACGGUGUAGCGGUGAAAUGCAUAGAUAUCGUCAAGAACACCGAUAGCGAAGGCAGCUUACCAAGCUGUAACUGACACUGAGGCACGAAAGUGUGGGGAUCAAACAGG
rnacentral:rRNA from 1 species